GGGGUUAUAGCUUAGGGGUAAAGCAAUUGGUUGUCAUCCAAAAGACACAGGUUCAAGCCCUGUUAAUCCCG
rnacentral:tRNA from 1 species